rnacentral:rRNA from 1 species
CGGAAGUUUUCGGAUGGAAGCGUGUAUGACUGAGCGGCGGACGGGUGAGUAACGCGUGGGUAACCUGCCUCAUACAGGGGGAUAACAGUUAGAAAUGACUGCUAAUACCGCAUAAGCGCACAGGACCGCAUGGUCAAGUGUGAAAAACUCCGGUGGUAUGAGAUGGACCCGCGUCUGAUUAGCUGGUUGGUGAGGUAAUGGCCCACCAAGGCGACGAUCAGUAGCCGACCUGAGAGGGUGGCCGGCCACAUUGGGACUGAGACACGGCCCAAACUCCUACGGGAGGCAGCAGUGGGGAAUAUUGCACAAUGGGGGAAACCCUGAUGCAGCAACGCCGCGUGAGUGAAGAAGUAUUUCGGUAUGUAAAGCUCUAUCAGCAGGGAAGAAGAAAGACGGUACCUGACUAAGAAGCCCCGGCUAACUACGUGCCAGCAGCCGCGGUAAUACGUAGGGGGCAAGCGUUAUCCGGAUUUACUGGGUGUAAAGGGAGCGUAGACGGCAUAGCAAGUCUGAAGUGAAAGCCCGUGGCUCAACCGCGGAACUGCUUUGGAAACUGUUAAGCUGGAGUACUGGAGAGGCAAGCGGAAUUCCUAGUGUAGCGGUGAAAUGCGUAGAUAUUAGGAGGAACACCAGUGGCGAAGGCGGCUUGCUGGACAGAGACUGACGUUGAGGCUCGAAAGCGUGGGGAGCAAACAGGAUUAGAUACCCUGGUAGUCCACGCGGUAAACGAUGAAUGCUAGGUGUUGGCGGGCAAAGCCCGUCGGUGCCGCCGNCAACGCAUUAAGCAU